AAAGAAGUGGCUGUAGAGAGUGACGUUUCCUGGGGCUUACUGACCCUGGUCCCCGGGCUCAUCUCGCCCUUUCUCCUCCAGGGAGAGUGUCAGCCCAUCAUACAUUUACAUGAGGGGCCUCUUCUCCACGGAUCAUGCCACCCCCUUCCCCGUGGCUAAAAGGCAAUUUAAUAUGCAGAGGCUUUGCUAGAACAGCAUUAGGUUAUGACACGAGGAAAUGGAAAAGAAAAAAAAAAACAACCUCAGCCCAAACUCUGCCCUUCAGCCGUCCUCCUGAGAGUGCACUGACGUCGGCCAAGGAUGGAGCGAGUGGUUUGGGGCUCAGCGAACCGGAGGGAAACUGAGGCCACUUCCACUGGUGGCGAAGGACUGAAGGGCCUCAAACGAGUUUGUAAGUUCAAGUUUGGUCGAGGGCUUGAGCGGCUCAGACGUUCACUCCCUCGGGCUAGCAGGCGCGGUAGGACCUUUCCAGACAGGACAACCUCUUGGAGGCGGGAGGCAUGCUCAGCCCCUGCACUCAGUGGUGACUACCCCACUUAGCCAUUGAAUGUCACCGCAGCCCAUUCGCACAGGAGACAGAAUCUACAUCUCGCCGUAAAAAAGGUGAUGAAAUGAAAGAAGUUGUGAAAUGACAUUUUUUUCUCCAGCAGGUUUGCCGUAUCUCCUGCAUGGAGGAAAAUUGCUUUCUGUAAAUCUUGGUCCAACAGAACAAAAACACCUAUUUCUUUCCAGUUGGGGAGACAGCCAUUCUCAUUGCAUAAUGAACGUAUUGUAAGCUGUGACUUUUACAAAGUCUGAGGGAAACCAAUCUGAAAUCUUGACAGAUAUGAUCUUUCCGGGAUGCACUGUUCGUUGACGGCGGCGAGAGACCUCAAUUAAUUUAUGAGCGGGGACAGCGGGAUGUGACCCCUUGUGCGCAGUCGAGGUGGAGCUGUCCCAGUCUGCGUUUAUGUUCUGGGUCCAGGACACACAGGCAGGAGGGAGAAUCUAAGCCAAGAAGAGAUGCUGAUCCCAGGAAAAGAGGACACGUGGCACGGAAGGCCAGAGCUCAAGAAACAGGGAAUAAUAACACAAUGAGAUCAGGAUAAGAAGGAGCAACUAAACCCGACAGACCAUCUCUUCCAGUUUUAGGAACCGAGAAUUGCAAAGCGACAGCCCCUGGAUGAAAGCAGGGGCAUCUCGCAGCCUAAAUAAAUAAGCCGAGUACUUGUUCCACAAAGAGGGCGAAGACUGUGGAUUCCACAGGAUCACAAGGCUUCGUUUCCAAAUAAACCAUGAAUAUGAUGGUCCAAGGGGAGCAGACCAAGGGGCAAUCCAAAAAAGGGUUCAAAAAGACUGUAGAUCUUUGCUGGCAAAAGUAUUAAAAAUAAAGCAACCAAACCAAAGACAUGUCACAAGAACCUGAGAUGUAAAGGAGAGCAACUUGAGCUGGCCAGUGUUGCGGGGCCUGGAAGGAGACGGUGCUGGCACCUGGAAGUGUGUGGCCAGGUGUGCUUCCCUGUGAUGGACUCAGACGCCCAUCAGGGCACCCAGCGAAAGUCCACUUCGAAAAGUGUCCUCCAAUGGGAGGUGAAAAUUAUUUUCAUUUGAAUGGGAAGAGAAAAAUAAACAGAAGACGCCAAAGGGACUCUCAGAUAUUUUACUAUGGAUUCAUACUUUGAAGGGAAAAUAAGAAAACUGAAUUCGUGAUGACUGAUUAAAAACACAUCAUCAUGCUUCCAUAUCUUGGCAAUUAUAAAUAAUGAUGCUGUUAAUAGUAGGGUGUAUGUACCUUUCUGAAUUAAUUCUUAUUUUGUG